rnacentral:ribozyme from 1 species
CUCUGGCGAUGCCGGCCACCUCCACGUGGUGCCAGAGUCCAGUACCCCGCAUCAUCGGGGGAAACCAAGAGCCAG